rnacentral:lncRNA from 1 species
ACCCAACUUGAUAUACCGACUUAUACAUAUGAUGUACUGGCCUAUAAGGCCAUACCAGUAUCCGUAUACAUGACAUCUGUCUACAAGCCUCUAAGAGUACAUAAAUAUCAUAAAGGUCGGGACAGAGCCCCGCCAUACCAAUCAAUACAUAUUCAAAUCAUACUGACCAAAUAGGCAACUUCGGAACAAGUGGAGUGCACAAACACCUUCUGUUGAGCUGAUAGCCUACUGGGAGAACUCUCAACCUGUCUAUCAGGACCUGCGGGCAUGAAACGCAGCAUCCCCAGGAAAAAGGGACGUCAGUACAAAUAAAGUACCGAGUAUGUAAGGCAUGACAAUAGUAUAUAAAAGACAUAAAAGAAACCUGGAGUAAAAAACUUAACCUUUAAUUCUGAAUAGCUCCGUGAAUCAUGAAAAUUUAUAAUGUCAUGCAUGUGCGUAUAAAUGCCAUACCAUGCAUAGGUAUAUACGUACAUAACAUCAUCAAACCUCUGAGGGCAUCCCAUUAUAUCAUCUCAGCCACUGUGAGCAAAAUCAUUAACGUAUACCAGCUGAUCAAGUGGUGGUGCAUAUAUAACGCCUUAACCUUUUUCCAUAUCCCAUAUACAUAUAAUAUAUGCGUAUAUAACACCUUCUGGUCAUGGGUCAAUGUACAUGUAUAAAUGCAUGAAAUGCAUAAGAAAUACGUUAAUAAGAUUUCUCGAAUAUCAUAAAAUUAAUAUUCCUUUCGGACAAACUUUAUCAAACACGUAUUUUUCUAGGACCCAUGAACAGAGGAUAUAUUAAUAAUUCACAUGAGGAAUCAAGAAUAUAGACACUCCUAGUAUUUCUAUGAAUAGAGUCAUUUAUGAAAGUUACGUAUAUUGCUUGUGUCGUUUGUAUCAUUUGGAUCAUGCCAAAAGGAAAGAAGGGAUAGCCUUAACAUACCUUGACCGAUUCUCUUGAAAAUUCCUCUAACACACGUCUUUUGUGACGAACACGUAACGACGGAUCGAAUUAGGGAAAAAUCUGUAUGAUAUUCUUGAGAAGGAUUGCACCGCACUCCCUUAGAAUCGCAAAAUUCCGUUGCUAUUACGUAGUAUAACUUUGUAUGAAAUCUCACAUUUUUGAAUUCUUGAAGAUCCAUGAAAGCUCACGUUACUGAAUUUUUUUGAAAGCUCA